UUUAACCAUUCUUGCUCACUGUCAUGACUUAUAGAGACACUUAAUGGAACUGGGCCAUCAAUCACUCAACUCAACGUGAGUUCUUGGCUGCUAGUUAGCAAACGUUACGGCGUCUGGGCUUGUAGCUGCACGAAGUUCCCCCCUGAGAAUGAAAAGUUUGGAGGCUUCACCAGACUGAAACUGAGUUAGCUAAGGAGGACGUUUUCUGACUGCGUUUUCUGACUGAAAGUGGAUUCUUUGCAGGAAUAAACGCUGACCGUUUAACAAUUAUUUUUAUUUUCGUGGAUUUGCAACACUUUUUCAACCGGGAAUUAUGGACUGCCUUCUUAAAAUACAGCUGCUACUGAAGUGCCUCUGGGCCAGACACUUGACCUUCAAGAGCUCCAGUUGCUUGGCAGCUAAAGGAGCAUGACUACACUGGGCUGCUCCCGGCUGAGAGUCGCAGCGAACCUCUGAAACUCCUCUGAAAAGUGUUUGUGGUCAGAUCGCUUCGUUUGCUGACGGAUAGAGAAUUAAUUGCCAGCAAAUUUGAUAAGGAAUUAAUUAAAUGGGUCGCUUUUCAUGCAAAAAUGCCCAACGUCC